rnacentral:rRNA from 1 species
AUGCCCUUAGAUGUUCUGGGCCGCACGCGCGCUACACUGACGAUGUCAACGAGUCUCUCCUUCGCCGGUAGGUGUGGGUAAUCUUGUGAAACAUCGUCGUGCUGGGGAUAGAUCAUUGCAAUUUUUGAUCUUGAACGAGGAAUUCCUAGUAAGCGCGAGUCAUCAGCUCGCGUUGAUUACGUCCCUGCCCUUUGUACACACCGCCCGUCGCUACUACCGAUUGAAUGGUUUAGUGAGGCCUUCUGAUUGGCGCCGCCGCCCCGGCAACGGAGUAGCGGAUGCCGAGAAGUUGGUCAAACUUGAUCAUUUAGAGGAAGUAAAAGUCGUAACAAGGUUUCCGUAGGUGAACCUGCGGAAGGAUCAUUA